rnacentral:rRNA from 1 species
AUUGAACGCUGGCGGCAGGCCUAACACAUGCAAGUCGAACGAGUGGCGGAAGGGUGAGUAAUGUCUGGGAAACUGCCUGAUGGAGGGGGAUAACUACUGGAAACGGAAGCUAAUACCGCAUACCAUCAGAUGGGCCCAGAUGGGAUUAGCUAGUGGGUGGGGUAACGGCUCACCUAGGCGACGAUCCCUAGCUGGUCUGAGAGGAUGACCAGCCACACUGGCACUGAGACACGGUCCAGACUCCUACGGGAGGCAGCAGUGGGGAAUAUUGCACAAUGGGCGCAAGCCUGAUGCAGCCAUGCCGCGUGUGUGAAGAAGGCCUUCGGGUUGUAAAGCACUUUCAGCGGGGAGGCGUUACCCGCAGAAGAAGCACCGGCUAACUCCGUGCCAGCAGCCGCGGUAAUUC